rnacentral:rRNA from 1 species
GAGUUUGAUCCUGGCUCAGGAUGAACGCUAGCUACAGGCUUAACACAUGCAAGUCGAGGGGCAGCAUUAUCGAAGCUUGCUUUGAUAGAUGGCGACCGGCGCACGGGUGAGUAACGCGUAUCCAACCUUCCCUAUAGUAGGGGAUAGCCCGGCGAAAGUCGGAUUAAUACCCUAUGUUAUUCGAUGCGGACAUCUAAGUUGAAUCAAAGAUUUAUCGCUAUAGGAUGGGGAUGCGUCUGAUUAGCUUGUCGGCGGGGUAACGGCCCACCGAGGCAACGAUCAGUAGGGGUUCUGAGAGGAAGGUCCCCCACAUUGGUACUGAGACACGGACCAAACUCCUACGGGAGGCAGCAGUGAGGAAUAUUGGUCAAUGGGCGAUAGCCUGAACCAGCCAAGUAGCGUGCAGGAAGACGGCCCUACGGGUUGUAAACUGCUUUUAUGCGGGGAUAAAGUAGCCCACGUGUGGGUUUUUGCAGGUACCGCAUGAAUAAGGACCGGCUAAUUCCGUGCC